UACAGAGGUCUCAAGCGUUGUUCGGAUUCAUUGGGCGUAAAGGGUGCGUAGGCGGCGAGGUAAGUCGGAUGUGAAAUCCCGGGGCUCAACCCCGAAACUGCAUUCGAUACUGCUUUGCUUGAGUACUGGAGAGGAGACUGGAAUUUACGGUGUAGCAGUGAAAUGCGUAGAUAUCGUAAGGAAGACCAGUGGCGAAGGCGAGUCUCUGGACAGUUACUGACGCUGAGGCACGAAGGCCAGGGGAGCGAACGGG
rnacentral:rRNA from 1 species